GACGAACGCUGGCGGCGUGCCUAAUACAUGCAAGUCGAACGCAGUGGGGACGGGUGAGUAACACGUGGGUAACCUCCCAUCAGAGGGGAAAACACUUGGAAACAGGUGCUAAACCGAGACUGAUGGAGGGACCCGCGGUGCAUUAGCUAGUUGGUGAGGUAACGGCUCACCAAGGCCACGGUGACUAACCGAUCUCAGAGGUUGAGCGGCCACACUGGGACUGAGACAGGGCCCAGACUCCUACGGGAGGCAGCAGUAGGGAAUCUUCGGCAAUGAACGAAAUUCUGACCGAGCAACGCCGCGUGAGUGAAGAAGGUUUUCGGAUCGUAAAACUCUGUUGUUAGAGAAGCGUUAUCUAACCAGAAAGCCACGGCUAACUACGUGCCAGCAGCCGCGGUAAUAC
rnacentral:rRNA from 1 species